rnacentral:rRNA from 1 species
CAGCCGCCGCGGUAAGACAGAGGAUGCAAGCGUUAUCCGGAAUGAUUGGGCGUAAAGCGUCUGUAGGUGGCUUUUCAAGUCCGCCGUCAAAUCCCAGGGCUCAACCCUGGACAGGCGGUGGAAACUACCAAGCUGGAGUACGGUAGGGGCAGAGGGAAUUUCCGGUGGAGCAGUGAAAUGCGUUGAGAUUGGAAAGAACACCAACGGCGAAAGCACUUUGCUAAGCCGACACUGACAUUGAGAGACGAAAUCUAGGGGAGCAAAUGGGAUUAGAUACCCCGGUAGUCCCUGUCUCUUAUAC